CAUUCAGGGUUUUUUUUUUUUAAUUUCCCCCAGAGUUGGCUAACAUGGAAAGCAUUGCUAUUCUACAGGGAAGACCCUGCUGAAAAGACCAAUGUUUCUUGGAGCAUUUUCAAAUUCCCGUGGUCUGCCUGCCGAGAUGGCACAGCUUGUGUUGAAUUCUAUGAAAUCUUGUGAAAGUUUUGUAUUCUUACAGAAUCCUAAUACCUGUAGAUUAUUAUUCUUCAAGUGAAGGAAAGUCAGAGCUUGCCCUGAAUCGCUUUGGGUGGAGAAAGACAGCAUUGCUAAUGGAUGCAAAGUAGAUAUGCACCUAGGCUGCUGCAGAGGUUAGGAGGGCUUCACGUUGAAGUAAAAUGUCCUGACACAUACCUUAUUGUACUCUCUGAUUUUACAAGCCGCACAUUUGGCCACUCUACUCCAAUAUUAAGCCUUUCUAACCUUCACCACGGCCUGAUUCAUUUACUUGGAAGAGCCCAGUUGUGAAGGAAAGAGAAUGGAAGUAUUGCUGCCUCCACAUUAUUGUGCUUUGACCUCAAUGAAUCACCUGAAGAAGUCUGGUGUAUGUGAUGAAGGAGAAUUGUUCUCUUACUAUUCUCAAGAUUUAUGAAAAAAACAUGCUGAGUUUAUCAUGCUACACAUUGCCACAUGCCACAUUGUGGAACCCUGCCUUGUAGUAGGGCCUGGGUCCAAGUGCAGCUGAAGAAGGCAGAGUGCCAACAAGGCUCGAAAAAGCCUGGGUAAAGGUAGCAUUGCACCUCCACAAAUCUUGAGUUUUAAGAGACAGAACCUCCACUGAUUGGUUCCACUGGAUAUGGGACAAACCCUGUGUCUCUGAUGGAGGAAUUCCAGGGAUGCUUCCCAAGUGGAAACUUGCUGAACUUUCCAGCCUUCACACAGGAGUAGCCUGCCUAUUGGGAAAAUCUGUUACAGUACAAAAUAAAGUAAAAGGACAAACCUCAAGGUUAAAAAAACAGUUACCACAAAAAGCACUUCCCAAAAGGGCAAAAAAGCCUGGCACUGUCAAGAGGAAAGCAAACAAGCAAUCAGAUACAUAAAGUAAUUACUAUAAUAGGAAAAAAUGUAACGGUUUAAGUCCCCGACUGGAUGCUAUACAGUAACUCUGUACUUCUUCUUGAAAAAGAUAAUCCCCUACAUCAUCCAUUGUCAUUAGUUCUAGAAUUUAAAGCAUUUAUUCCAACUUAACUGCAAUACUUUUUGCCUGAAGCAUACUGCUCUGCCUCAGAAAUGAAAAAGUGAUUUAGAUUGCUUGAGCUCUGGGCCACUGAGGGCUGGAUAUUGUCCCCAAAGCUCAGCCUACCCACUGAAGGGCAAGAUAAAUGCCAACAAAAUACAGACAAAAAAGCUAUUGUGCUUUAACACAGUUAUGGAGAAAGGCAAAUAUUACAAAAGGAGAUAUGGAUAUAUUAUUUCUCAUCCAACAGAAAAUACAACUGAAAUGAGAUAAAUAAGUGGACUAAAACCAUGAUAAAAGCAACUGCUACCUCAAUUAAAGUCAGCAAGGUGGUAAUUAUCAGGGAUGUAACUGAAGGUACCGCAAAUCAAUACUAGGUAAAAGUGGCUAAACAGAUGGCUCAUCCUCUCUGGACCUUCACGAAGAAUAUGUGACCUGAAGUUCACUUGGCAAAAUCCUAACCAUGCAAUUCCAUUGAUGAUAGUUUUCAUACAAGCUGCAGAUUAUACCACCCCAAGAGGAAGAAAACUGCUGCUCUGGCAGCAAUUUCCAGCAAGAGAAACUGAGGUUAAAGGCAACACAAGAGUAGAGUAACAGCCACAAUCUAAUAAAGAGGCAGUUGGGAGCUUUGAAGUGCACAAAGUAACAGUACAAAACUUUACACUGAAUACAUGAAUAUCAAAUUAAACUCCAAGAAAAUAUCUGAGGCAAGAUCUGCUAAAAAGAUCAAACAGUAACCUAGUUUAGCCAAAGACACACGUUAUGUAAGAGUACAUAUGUCCUACACAGGUUAUGCUCAAUUAUUCUGAAUUAAGGCCCAAUGCAAGGGCAUGUAUAGCUGGAAUUAUAGUAGCAGUAGAAGGGGUGUGUACAUAUUAUGGUAAAAGCCCUUCUUUAUGGGGGGAGGCACAGACUACAGAUCUGCUAAAGACAGGAUCAGAAGAGCAAAAGAGUCACAUGGAUUGUAAGCUUUCUGGGACAAGGAUUUUGUCUGUGUCAAGACCACCAAAUCAUUUUGGAAUCACACACUAUAUAUGUAAAUACAAUGAACCUUUCCUGCAUCAGCUCUACAGACCUAGGCAUGGAUGCAGCCCAUCUACUGUAUCAAGACACUGAGAUAAGCAUUUGGCCCUAAGAGAAAUUAAUGUUUCAUUUAACAGGAUGGAAGAUUAAAGAAUAAUAAUAAAAAAAGGAACAAAGUAAGGGAGCUCGGUUCCAAAAGACAAAACAGCCAACAGACUAUGCCUGAAUAACUAACCUUCUCCUAAUGAUGUCUUAUAGAGCAUUUCUUCCCUUAAGGUUCAUUUUGGUUUCUGACUACUUUGUGACUUUUUUGCAGAAACCCAAACUGGUAUAUAACUUUUUAUCAGAGUUGUCAUUAAUUGAGAACAGCACUUACAUAAUUUACUCUGAUUAAACAACUGAAUAUUA